ACGUAGUUUGAUCAGUGGCUCGAAGGACAACGCUGGCGGCGUGCCUAACACAUGCAAGUCGAACGGAACUUUUUUAAAGGAUUUCUUCGGAAUGAAUUUGAUUAAGUUUAGUGGCGGACGGGUGAGUAACGCGUGAGUAACCUGCCUCUAAGAGGGGAAUAACAUUCUGAAAAGAAUGCUAAUACCGCAUAAUAUAUAUUUAUCGCAUGGUAGAUAUAUCAAAGAUUUAUCGCUUAGAGAUGGACUCGCGUCCGAUUAGUUAGUUGGUGAGGUAACGGCUCACCAAGACUGCGAUCGGUAGCCGGACUGAGAGGUUGAACGGCCACAUUGGGACUGAGACACGGCCCAGACUCCUACGGGAGGCAGCAGUGGGGGAUAUUGCGCAAUGGGGGAAACCCUGACGCAGCAACGCCGCGUGAAGGAUGAAGGUCUUCGGAUUGUAAACUUCUUUUAUUAAGGACGAAGAAAGUGACGGUACUUAAUGAAUAAGCUCCGGCUAACUACGUG
rnacentral:rRNA from 1 species